rnacentral:rRNA from 1 species
UACAGAGGGUGCGAGCGUUAAUCGGAAUUACUGGGCGUAAAGCGUGCGCAGGCGGUUUUGUAAGCCAGAUGUGAAAUCCCCGGGCUUAACCUGGGAAUGGCAUUUGGGACUGCAAGGCUGGAGUGCGGCAGAGGAGACUGGAAUUCCUGGUGUAGCAGUGAAAUGCGUAGAUAUCAGGAGGAACACCGAUGGCGAAGGCAGGUCUCUGGGCUGACACUGACGCUCAUGCACGAAAGCGUGGGGAGCAAACAGG